CUCCGGACGAGGUGUCUCUCCUGCUGUGCCCCCCAGGGCCUGUGUUUUGGAAACUCCAGCAAGCCAGCCCAGCAGGCCGUUUCGAGUGACGAAGGCACCUCAGGAACUGCAGGUGCUCCUCAGAAGAGUCAAGAAAGGGGGGUCAACUUUCAGCCCCUGAAAGAGCCUGACUUUGCAUUUCUAUUUCACAAGCUUACAGUUCUGAGUAAUUGUACUGGAGGGCUGAAGAGUCAAAGGCAAUUCAUGUGCAAAUCUAGGCUUCUUCGGGCGUGAGAUUUCAUCCGGUUCACACCAGAUGACCUGCCUCUGUCAUGUCUCAGCCUGUCUGCAAUGAAGGAGGAGAAAAAUCUGCGCCUCUUCCUCUCAAGGGAUAAUUUGCCUCUGGGGUACUUUCUGACCCAGUGGACCCCUGGCAGAAGUAAGCGUGGACUGUGGCUACAGUACUGCACAGAGUCAACAGGAACCGAAGCCAGGCCUUCGCCACGGCAGCUCCGGGGUCCAACCACUUGAUCAAUGCAGGAAAUGCUUUGAUGAAAGAAUUCUUCCGUGGCCAGCUUCUCAUAUUCUCUGGGACAGACACAAACCAAGAAAAAUGAGUGUGGUGCAGAAUCCGAUGUGUCCUUCCUGUACCCCCUGCUGGUAGCAAAAAGUAUGUUUUGAACUUUUCUUUGUUAUACACAGUCUGGGUAAUAACAGACUGAAGGAAAAUUAAGGAAGCCUGGGAGGCUAAGUUCAAUGAAAAAUGAACUGAGGCAGAGAAAAAAGAGAAUUGGAAAGUAUCUGGGUGUCUGGAGAGGUUGGGAGAAUAGAGAGGGAGGAGAUAUAAUUGGCCAGAUAACUUGAGAGUGGGAGAGGAGUGCAAACAUUAUUUUUGAGGCGCUUUGUUGGAUAUUUAAAAUGCACUCCUACCUUUGGCAUUUUCUCAAAAGGCAGGAAAGAUUUGUUUUCAAUUCUAUUUUUCUGCUGGACUGAACCAGUGCCAAGACUGGACCAUGUAGGAUCCUGGGUUUAUUUCAAUUACAUAAGCAAACGUUACUGUGAUUUGGAAUAGUCAAAGCCAUGAAUGUUUCUCAACUUCCAUUUUGUCAGCUGCUUGAGUUUCUAUUCUGAGAGGUGCUAACUGUUAACAUUGUUAUUCACUUGUGUUCCCUAAAUAAAUUUUAAUUAGUUUUAAUUUGAACCAAGAAUGUUCUACUGUUGACACUAUGUCAAGAAUGAUCAAAAAUGAAAUUAAUAAAGAAUUCACUUCAGAAAAAAAUUUGCACUAAUAUUACAGUAUUUUAUAAUAUCUAUCUCAGCAGAGUCACAGAUAAUUUAGAAAUUUUAAUUUUGUUUUUAAGUGAUUUUCCUCAAAGCAGUAAUAGCCUUGGUAAAGAGUUUAGUUAAACAUUAUUUUUCA
rnacentral:lncRNA from 1 species